GGACAGUAUCAAAUGCCUUGCUGAAAUCAAGGUAGACUACAUCCACUGCUCUCCCCCUAUCCACCCAGCCAGAGACAACAUCAUAGAAGGCUACCAGUUGUCUGGAGAUGACAUCCAGUACAAGCUGUUCCAUCACCUUUCCAGGGACAGAGUCUUCAGGCACCUUCCCCGUCUUCCAAGACUUCUCAAAGAUGACCGAAAGCGGUUCAGCAAUCACCUCUGCCAGCCCCUUCAGCACCCGUGGAUGAAUC